CCGCCCUCCUCACCGCGCCAGGGCUGGCCCCGCCGCCCAGGCUCCGCUGCAGGUGGCAGUUGAAGAUCUCCUCCGCCCGCCGCAGCCUUCGCUGUUCUCUCUCAGGAGCUCUGCCCGGCCUUUCAGCUGGACAAGGCACAUGCUGUUCUUCAGCGCUCCGAUGAGAGUUUGGACUUCCAGAAAGUCCCCUAUGCCGGCUGCGCCUGGACUCAGUCUCCCUCCCUUCACUUCCUCCUCAUUGCUCUUCACACUUGAGACUGUAAUUGCCCAUCGUCCACUCAUCAGCCUACCCCCAUUACACACAGGCUUUGUAACUGCCCCGUGCCUGUUUCCUCAUUUGGAAAAUAGGAACAAAAAUAGUUUUUGUGUACUUGGAGCUCCCUGCAACAA